rnacentral:rRNA from 1 species
UACGCAGGGUGCGAGCGUUGUCCGGAAUUAUUGGGCGUAAAGGGCUCGUAGGCGGUUUGUCGCGUCGGGGAGUGAAAACCCAGGGCUUAACCCUGGGCUGGCUUUCGAUACGGGCAGACUAGAGGUAUGCAGGGGGAGAACGGAAUUCCUGGUGUAGCGGUGAAAUGCGCAGAUAUCAGGAGGAACACCGGUGGCGAAGGCGGUUCUCUGGGCAUUACCUGACGCUGAGGAGCGAAAGUGUGGGGAGCGAACAGG